UACGUAGGCAGCGAGCGUUGUUCGGAGUUACUGGGCGUAAAGGGUGCGUAGGCGGUUGUUUAAGUUUGGUGUGAAAUCUCCCGGCUCAACUGGGAGGGUGCGCCGAAUACUGAAUGACUAGAGUGCGGGAGAGGAGAGUGGAAUUCCGAGUGUAGAGGUGAAAUUCGUAGAUAUUCGGAAGAACACCAGUGGCGAAGGCGACUCACUGGACACGUAUUGACGCUGAGGUGCGAAAGCGUGGGGAGCAAACAGG
rnacentral:rRNA from 1 species